UAGUGUGGUGCUUGCUCUAGGAGCGGUUCUUGACCCAAGGAUAAAGCUUUCUACUUUGGAAUUUUGUUACUCAAAAGUUGAUCCACUUACUUCUAAAUGUAAAAUGGAAGAAGUUGUACGGUCUCUUUGAGAAUUAUUCUUCCAUUCCUAAUUCAUCUACCACAACUUCCACAAGCAUUACAUCUUCCGCUACUUUGUCUACCCACAAAUUGACUUCCAGCUUGUU
rnacentral:lncRNA from 1 species